rnacentral:misc_RNA from 1 species
UCCUGGUUAACCCAGGCAGUCUCAUUAGAGUCCCCACCAUUAUGUGCUGGUAACUAAUGACAAGGGUUGCGCUCGUUGCGGGACUUAACCCAACACCUCACGGCACGAGCUGACGACAGCCAUGCAGCACCUGUGUAGCAGUCCUUGCGGAAAGCUCUGUUUCUAGAGCGGUCCACUACAUGUCAAGCCCAGGUAAGGUUCUUCGGGUAGCAUCGAAUUAAACCACAUGCUCCACUGCUUGUGCGAGCCCCCGUCAAUUCUUUUGAGUUUCACUCUUGCGAGCGUACUUCCCAGGCGGUGUAUUUAUCGCGUUAGCUUCGAUACAGAUAGGAUUGAGCCUACCUACAUCCAAUACACAUCGUUUACGGUGUGGACUAC